AAGACUAUACUUUUCAGGGAUCAUUUCUAUAUGUUAUUAGAGAAGUUUCUCUGAGUGUGUAGAGCACCUGAAACCACAAGGAGGAGCUAGAGCAUACUCUCCUGAGCGUGAAGCAGGCGCUAGGUGUUGCUUCUGUAACUGCCUUUUGCCAUUGAUCAUUGUUCUUCCUUUCCUUCAGGAAGGGGUAGAGGGAGAGGAUGCAGUAUGAGU